rnacentral:rRNA from 1 species
CACAGAGUCGGGAUAACACCUGGAAACAGAUGCUAAUACCGGAUAACAACAGAUGAUGCCUAUCAACUGUUUAAAAGAUGGUUCUGCUAUCACUCUUGGAUGGACCUGCGGUGCAUUAGCUAGUUGGUAGGGUAACGGCCUACCAAGGCGAUGAUGCAUAGCCGAGUUGAGAGACUGAUCGGCCACAUUGGGACUGAGACACGGCCCAAACUCCUACGGGAGGCAGCAGU